rnacentral:rRNA from 1 species
UGACCCAGCCAAGUAGCGUGAAGGAUGACUGCCCUAUGGGUUGUAAACUUCUUUUAUAAAGGAAUAAAGUCGGGUAUGGAUACCCGUUUGCAUGUACUUUAUGAAUAAGGAUCGGCUAACUCCGUGCCAGCAGCCGCGGUAAUACGGAGGAUCCGAGCGUUAUCCGGAUUUAUUGGGUUUAAAGGGAGCGUAGAUGGAUGUUUAAGUCAGUUGUGAAAGUUUGCGGCUCAACCGUAAAAUUGCAGUUGAUACUGGAUAUCUUGAGUGCAGUUGAGGCAGGCGGAAUUCGUGGUGUAGCGGUGAAAUGCUUAGAUAUCACGAAGAACUCCGACUGCGAAGGCAGCCUGCUAAGCUGCAACUGACAUUGAGGCUCGAAAGUGUGGGUAUCAAACAGGAUUAGAUACCCUGGUAGUCCACACGGUAAACGAUGAAUACUCGCUGUUUGCGAUAUACAGCAAGCGGCCAAGCGAAAGCGUUAAGUAUUCCACCUGGGGAGUACGCCGGCAACGGUGCAACUCAAAGGAUUGACGGA